AACGGCAGCACGGGUGCUUGCACCUGGUGGCGAGUGGCGAACGGGUGAGUAAUGUAUCGGAACGUAUCCGGAAAUGGGGGAUAACGUAGCGAAAGUUACGCUAAUACCGCAUAUGCCCUGAGGGGGAAAGGUGGGGAUCGCAAGACCUAUCGUUUUCGGAGCGGCCGAUAUCAGAUUAGCUAGUUGGUGGGGUAAAGGCCCACCAAGGCGACGAUCUGUAGCUGGUCUGAGAGGACGACCAGCCACACUGGGACUGAGACACGGCCCAGACUCCUACGGGAGGCAGCAGUGGGGAAUUUUGGACAAUGGGGGCAACCCUGAUCCAGCCAUGCCGCGUGAGUGAAGAAGGCCUUCGGGUUGUAAAGCUCUUUCAGACGGAAAGAAAUCGUGCGGGCUAAUAUCCUGUAUGGAUGACGGUACCGUCAGAAGAAGCACCGGCUAACUACGUGCCAGCAGCCGCGGUAAUACGUAGGCUCCAAGCGUUGUUCGGAAUUACUGGGCGUAAAGCGAGUGUAGGCGGUCCGUCAAGUCGAUUGUGAAAUCUCCCGGCUCAACUGGGAGGGUGCGGUCGAAACUGACGGACUAGAGUUCGGGAGAGGAGAGUGGAAUU
rnacentral:rRNA from 1 species